rnacentral:rRNA from 1 species
CCUACGGGUGACUGCAGUCGAGAAUCAUUCACAAUGGGGGAAACCCUGAUGGUGCGACGCCGCGUGGAGGAAUGAAGGUCUUCGGAUUGUAAACCGCUGUCAUGUGGGAGCAAAUUAAAAAGAUAGUACCACAAGAGGAAGAGACGGCUAACUCUGUGCCAGCAGCCGCGGUAAUACAGAGGUCUCAAGCGUUGUUCGGAAUCACUGGGCGUAAAGGGUGCGUAGGCUGUUUCGUAAGUCGUGUGUGAAAGGCGCGGGCUCAACCCGCGGACGGCACAUGAUACUGCGGGACUAGAGAAAAGGUGCGGUAAGCGGAAUGUACGGUGUAGCAGUGAAAUGCGUAGAGAUC